rfam:Trichobilharzia regenti genome assembly, scaffold: TRE_contig0001187
AAACCGGCCCUUUUUAGGGCCACUACAUGUUGAUCUCAGUAUUGUCU